CCCUAGCCCAGAUAGAAGUGAAAAUCCUUUAUGUUUUUUCUUUAAAAACAUAAAGAUUGUAACGGAUAGCUGGAAAUAGC
rnacentral:sRNA from 1 species